rnacentral:rRNA from 1 species
CCCUUAGAUGUCCUGGGCCGCACGCGCGUUACACUGAUGCAUUCAACGAGCUUAUAACCUUGGCCGAGAGGCCUGGGCAAUCUUGUUAACGUGCAUCGUGAUAGGGAUAGAUUAUUGAAAUUAUUAAUCUUGAACGAGGAAUUCCUAGUAAACGCAGAUCAUCAAUCUGCAUUGAUUACGUCCCUGCCCUUUGUACACACCGCCCGUCGCACCUACCGAUUGGAUGGUCCGGUGAAGCCUCGGGAUUGUGGUUCUUGCCGCUUUAUUGUGGCGUGACCGCGAGAACUUGUCUAAACCUUAUCAUCUAGAGGAAGGUGAGGUCGUUACA